GAGAAUCAGGUAUUUCUCUGUACCCCUCUUUAUUUAUUUAUCCUUUUUUUUUUUCUUUUUUAGUUUCCAAGAGGAAUUCUUCCCAAGAAGAAAAAUCCCAGUUCGGAUCCACAUGUGGAUUCCAGAUCCCAGGAUCCACUCUGUGCCAUAAUAAGGCUGUGCCAUCAGCUGGGAAACAUGAUGUCAACUGCAACACAGAGUAAAUCCAAGAGCAGAGAAGGAAGUCUCCAUGGCGUCUCUACUGAGUGAGCAGCUGAGGAGACAAAUGACUUUCCCAACUCCUGUUUCUGUUCACAGCCCUGCCAGCUGUCACCACAGCCAUUUCCAUGCCAACAUCUCAGUAAAGUAUCAGCGUUUCCAGCAAAAAAAGGGUUUUGCUGGGAUUGUAGUCUCACCGCACCGCAAGGAAAGCAGAGAAGCCUGCAACGUCAUCAUGCGUGCAUAAAAAAGCCCUGGAACCCAGGGCAGGAUCAUCCAUUCCACGAUGGUGGGAGGUGGUCCCUGCAUGUGAAGGUCAGUCCUGACGAUGUGCUGCGACGCCAGCAGGAGCAUGAAGAGGAAGGUUAGUGACUCCAUACCAGACACGCUCAGGUUGCAGCUACUUCAGACUGCUCCAACACCUAACAUCCUCUGGAAAUUUAAACUCUGGUCUAUGCCAGCAGACUUUGUGCUCCUGAUCAUACCCUGACAGCCCCAUGGUUCUCAAAACGUUUCCCAUCGCUCAUUAGAGAUGUCUGCAAGACCAAGACAGCUUUGUUUUCCUUACGCAUCUGAUUGAUAAUCCAUCUUAAUGAAGUUACACUUCUGAGCUAACAAAUUCAGAUGUCUCACUGAGCAAUCUCAACUGUUGUUUGAGGAUGCCCAUUACACUUUGCUGUAAUGAAACCAGAAAAACUGUCUUAGCAUGGAUACAGUUACUGAUAAACAUACUCCUGCAGCAAUAUAACUACAUCUCUGAUAGGACACAGCUGUAUUAGAAGGAACCACACUUCCAGUGGACACCAUAGUUCUAACAGCGUUUACCAAGGAAAAGACACCUUUCAUAGAAGACUAAACCAAGGGCAAGCAAAGGGAAAACCAAGUUGCUCAGUCUCAUAAAGUCAUUCAUUUCUGUAGGUAUUUUUAGAUCUUGUGAAUACAUUUUAUAUGCUACAUCAGGCUGUUUAUAUCAGAAUCAAACCAUUCUGGAAUGGGUAGUUCGAAUAGAUGAGCUGACCUGAGUUAGUAUUGAAAGUAAGAUCUCCAAGAGGAAUAUCUGGCAUUUAUGAAGUGGGAUGUUUAUCUGUUACUACUAUGAUAAAUAAGACUGCUGCAUCUAACAUACAAGUGACACUGCUCCAGAGGGCAUCAAGAGACAACAUCAGAAACACACGUGAUUUGGAACCAAGCUACACACGUGUGCAGCAGAAACUGGACAACAGUUGAUGGGGUGAUGAACUCCAGAAGAAACCAAGACCUGCAGCCUGCAACGAUCAGAAAAUGUUAUUGUAAAAGUCUUGAGACUUGGAAUGCGGAAACUGGUGAAAGAAACAAUUCCACAGACACUGCAAAACCAUCCAGCACUGACUGUCCUUUAGUUGGCUGGGGUUUAAUCUGUGAUUUCAGAAGGGUCAGCAUGGGUUGUCUAAAAGCCAGAAGAAACAGAAGGUUACACUGCUAUAUAUUCUCUUUUAAGAUCCCAAGCAGGAGCUGUGCCUGGAUGCGUUCUGCAGUAAUUUACAUGGUAAUAGAUGGUGCCAUUUCUCUGCGAUGAGGUACAACUUUUUUUGUAAGGGGGAAAACGUGUAAACACAUUUUCUCUUCAUCACAUAUGAGAGAAAGCUCUGAGGGGAGAAUAAAACUGUUUUUCCCCUGAGUCAAAGUCAGAGUCAUUUGAGGAAUCAAAUGACUGCGAGUUCCCCUGGUUGCUGUGCAACUUGCGAGCAUCUUAAAAGCGCCUCUUCUCUGCCUAAUAGCUCAUUUCUAAAACCUGCUCGCUGUGUUGUAUCUGAUGUUAGUUCUUCAAAUGGAGAGAAAUUCACACAUCAUGAAAGUGCAGCUUUAAAGACCAGCCUGGCAAAAGGGAAUGGAAACCAUUAAAUGGAACCCAUUAAAUUUUCCAAUCAAGCCCAUCCCAACCUCACUGAAAAAGGCCUAAGGGAAAUUUCAGCAUACCGCAGAAAGAAGCUCUCCCUAAUGUCACAAACCAUCAAAUGCUGUCUUUAUUGAAGAUGGUCCAGAAUGAGAGGCAGAUGUACUGUGCCAGAAGCUCUCUAUUUGUGUAAGAACACGAGCACACAACUUGCAAACAGUGUAUUUCUCUAGUACAUAACAAGAUGGUGUCACGGAUUUUUUCCAAGGACUGCUGCAUUAUCAGAGCCUCCAGUCCCUAUUACAAGUGGCAGCACAAGACAUCAUCCCGCAGACGUGAUGGAGAAUGUUCUGACAGCUGCAUUAAUGACAAGAAAUGCUUCCAAAAGGUGGAACUUAUGCUCAGUUCACCUAAGGUAUGAACUAAACAUUCAGUGCUAUGAAUCCUGGGGUAGUGCUGGCGUAACAUUGUCCAGGAUUGUCCCUACGUGUAAACAAAGCCUGUAGAUGCAUUUCUGGGGGAGGCGAUCCAAAGGGCAAGCUCCUCCUUUACCUGUUGAGCACAACCUGUCCCAGCUGAAGCUACAAUUCACUUAAUGACUAGGAGACAAGAGGCAACUCAGAGUACCUUCUUGUGAAGACAACGCCAUCGUGUCACUGUUCAGUCUCCUGGCUUCUGAAAAUGGCCAUAAGUGUCUCUGCCUUUCCAAGAAGUGAGAUCAGCAACUUCAGUCAUGGUGGUUGGGAAGCACUUUGAGGGUAGAGGCUGCUGCAAUACAAAGUCUGUUAUGUUCCCUCUUUCUUCCUUCAGUCUUGCCAGGGUCUUUGUGUGACAUUUGGCUUGCAGGUGGAUUGUGCUAUUAGAGAAUUUCAUUUUCAAUGCUCAUCAAACUCAUUGUCACCUGAUCCUCUACCAAGGGGACCAUUUUCAAGGGAAAGCAGCAGCUGCUGGAGGCAGUGUCUUUUUCUUCCUAUCUAAUCUUCACCGAUAUUUUUAUGUCACCUACAUUCUACUUCUUGGGAAUUAAGUGCUUUCUGCGUGCUGUGCCAUUAAUAUAAAUAUCAAACACAGAAAUUAUGUUCCGCCCCCCCCUCCCCUUAUCUAUGGGGAAAUCCCUUAUCUCUCACAGCCAUAAGUAAUUUAGGAUCAGACACAGAUGGGCUGAGAUGUGAAUGCCUCAGGGAGCAACUGAAAUAGCUCCCUGAUAGACAUCACAGGGGCUGAGCACAGUAUUUCUCUGCAUUUAUUCUGAUUAUCACGAAGGCUGCCAACAGGCUCUUCUCUUUGGAGUUUGGUGGAGCUCUCUUCUGUACUCUUGCUGCGGAUGGUGAUAGCAAACGCUCUUCAUAGAUGAAUAAGCACUAAUUUGUAACUGCAGAGCCCUGUGUUAAUAAGCAGGACAGAGUUCUUCUAUCAGUCAGCUACAUCAGCUCCCAAUGAGGUUACCACUGAGAGGCAAAUGUGGCAUGGGAGCCAUGAAAUUAACUUUAGUUCCCCUGACACUCAUUUCAAUAGGUUAGAUCUCACCCGCAGCACUGAAUCCCACAGCACCUAAAACAUACCCCCAAGGUUAUGUGUUUGGGGGUAUAUUAUAUGCUGCUGCCUUCUACAACUAAAGCUAUUUUGGCCUUGGAGAGGGAGCUUUCACACGAACUGAACUACAUUUUGCAGUCUGUGUGACAACAGGGCAACUGCAGUGUCUGAUGUAGUAGCACAAGUAUAUAUUCUAGCUGCACCCAAAAAGCAUGUGAUUUCUGUAUCAUGAAAAGGAGAAAUGCCAUUGCUGGCAAGCACAGCAUGGCGAGGCAGGACUGGGAGCAGCAGGUCUAUACCCCCAUCCAUCCCCGUUUCUGAGCAGGGGGGACAUGCACAGAAGCAUCUGCUCCCCCCCAUCAAUACAACUGCAGGUGACUGGGGAGA